CCCCAAGAAAAUUUUUAAAAAUUAGAUGCAAUUCCCUGCAUUCUGACAGUAUCUGCAGUCUUAUUCAGACAUGUUUGGAACAAAGAUUUUGAUCAAAUUGUUUUAUUGGUAAUAAGAUAUGUCCACCAACCCCAAAAAUCUGAGAAAAAAAUUCUGAAAAAGUCCAACUUUCAUAAAAAAUUUGGGCAGCAUGGCUCCUAGAAAAUCAACAUUUCCUAUUUUUUUUUAAAGCAAAUUAAGGCCUUGAAAGAUUGGGCAAUUGAGGAAGAGCUUGCACUAAGGAGGAGGGCAGUUCCCCUUAUCCUAAAGGAACAUCUUCUUAGCACAGUGAAUAGACUUUACAAAAAAUAAAUUUACUUACCAGAGGCAAUUUUAGAAUCUGGAAACAUCAAUUUGAAGUUUUUGGUAAACAUAUCUGCACUUGCUAGGGAAACCCCCAAAGAAGGGAAAGUUUCCCUGUAACAAUCUCUGAAUUUUUGGCAUGAUUUCUUUGCCGAUGUUGGUCCGGUUGUAGUAUUAUUAUUAUUGUCAUCAGUGGUCGUCCUUUUGGACAUGAUUUCAAUUUACCUUGUCUUAUAUGCGCUUUAAAGCAUUGAUAUUCUAAUUAAUUCAAUCGUUUAACUGAUCAAGAUAAAAAUUUAACGGAUUUUGAAACGAAACGAUUCAAAAUUUAACGGAUUUUGAACGAAAACGAUUUUUUUUU
rnacentral:lncRNA from 1 species